rnacentral:tRNA from 1 species
UAAUAGGUAGCUUAUAUUAAAGCGCAGUACUGAAGAUGCUGAAAAGAAAAAAAUUUAUUCCUUAUUAA